UAGUCUGGUGCCAGCAGCCGCGGUAAUACGGGAGUGGCAAGCGUUAUCCGGAAUUAUUGGGCGUAAAGCGUCCGCAGGCGGCUUUUCAAGUCUGCUGUUAAAGCGUGGAGCUUAACUCCAUCAUGGCAGUGGAAACUGAAUGGCUUGAGUAUGGUAGGGGCAGAGGGAAUUCCCGGUGUAGCGGUGAAAUGCGUAGAUAUCGGGAAGAACACCAGUGGCGAAGGCGCUCUGCUGGGCCAUUACUGACGCUCAUGGACGAAAGCCAGGGGAGCGAAAGGGAUUAGAUACCCCUGUAGUCCUGGCCGUAAACGAUGAACACUAGGUGUCGGGGGAAUCGACCCCUUCGGUGUCGUAGCUAACGCGUUAAGUGUUCCGCCUGGGGAGUACGCACGCAAGUGUGAAACUCAAAGGAAUUGACGGGGGCCCGCACAAGCGGUGGAGUAUGUGGUUUAAUUCGAUGCAACGCGAAGAACCUUACCAGGGUUUGACAUCCUGCGAACCUCUUAGAAAUUUGAGGGUGCCUUCGGGAAUGCAGUGACAGGUGGUGCAUGGCCGUUCUU
rnacentral:rRNA from 1 species